CCCCUAGAUGUUCUGGGCCGCACGCGCGCUACACUGAACAGUUCAACAAGUCUUAACCUUGGCCGAUAGGUCUGGGUAAUCUUUGAACGCUGUUCGUGAUUGGGAUAGACCUUUGCAAUUAUGGGUCUUCAACGAGGAAUUCCUAGUAAACGCAAGUCAUCAGCUUGCAUUGAUUACGUCCCUGCCCUUUGUACACACCGCCCGCCGCACCUACCGAUUGAAUGGUCCGGUGAAAUCUCGGGACGGCGGCUUGGUCGCUUGCGUCCGACUGCUGAAACUUGAUUAAACCAUAUCAUUUAGAGGAAGGUGAANUCGUAACA
rnacentral:rRNA from 1 species